AACGAACGCUGGCGGCGUGCCUAACACACGCAAGUCGAACGUGAUUGAAGAGCUUGCUCUUCAUGAAAGUGGCGCACGGGUGAGUAACGCGUAGAUAAUCUACCUGGUGAUUUGGGAUAACAGUUCGAAAGGACUGCUAAUACCGAAUAAGCCCACGGAGUCUUUGGAUUCUGCGGGAAAAGGGGGGGACCUUAUGGCCUUCCGUCAUCAGAUGAGUCUGCGUACCAUUAGCUAGUUGGUAGGGUAAAGGCCUACCAAGGCGACGAUGGUUAGCUGGGCUGAGAGGAUGAUCAGCCACACUGGAACUGAGACACGGUCCAGACUCCUACGGGAGGCAGCAGUGGGGAAUUUUGCGCAAUGGGGGAAACCCUGACGCAGCAACGCCGCGUGAGUGAUGAAGGCCCUUGGGUCGUAAAGCUCUGACAGAGGGAAAGAAAUGCAGGGGAGCUAAUAUCUCCUUUGCUUGACGGUACCCUCAAAGGAAGCACCGGCUAGCUCCGUGCCAGCCGCCGCUGUAAAAC
rnacentral:rRNA from 1 species